AUGCACGCUGGCGGCGUGCUUAACACAUGCAAGUCGAACGGUGAAGCGCCUUCCUUUUUGGUGGGUGUGGAUGAGUGGCGAACGGGUGAGUAACACGUGAGUAACCUGCCCCCUUCUUCUGGAUAACCGCAUGAAAGUGUGGCUAAUACGGGAUAUUCUGGGUCUGUCGCAUGAUGGGUCUGGGAAAGAUAUUGUUUCGGUGGGGGAUGGGCUCGCGGCCUAUCAGCUUGUUGGUGGGGUGAUGGUCUACCAAGGCGGUGACGGGUAGCCGGCCUGAGAGGGUGGACGGUCACACUGGGACUGAGACACGGCCCAGACUCCUACGGGAGGCAGCAGUGGGGAAUAUUGCACAAUGGGCGCAAGCCUGAUGCAGCGACGCCGCGUGAGGGAUGGAGGCCUUCGGGUUGUGAACCUCUUUCGCCAGUGAAGCAGGCCUGCCUCGUUUGUGGGUGGGUUGACGGUAGCUGGAUAAGAAGCGCCGGCUAACUACGUG
rnacentral:rRNA from 1 species